rnacentral:piRNA from 1 species
UCUACCUUGAAACAGGAAGAUGGUCUUAA